AACGUAGGAGACAAACGUUAUCCGGAGUUACUGGGCGUAAAGGGCGUGUAGGUGGUUUCGUAAGUCUGGCGUGAAAUUUUUCGGCUUAACCGGGAAAGGUCGUCGGAUACUGCGGGACUGGAGGACGGUAGAGGCGUGUGGAAUUCCGGGUGUAGUGGUGAAAUGCGUAGAGAUCCGGAGGAACACCAGUGGCGAAGGCGACACGCUGGGCCGUACCUGACACUGAUGCGCGACAGCAUGGGGAG
rnacentral:rRNA from 1 species